rnacentral:rRNA from 1 species
GACGAACGCUGGCGGCGUGCUUAACACAUGCAAGUCGAACGAGAGCGUAGAGUAAGCUUGCUUUUUCUACAAUCUAGUGGCAAACGGGUGAGUAACGCGUAAACAACCUGCCCUACGGAUGGGGACAACAGCUGGAAACGGCUGCUAAUACCGAAUACGUUCCGAAAGUCGCAUGACUAUCGGAAGAAAGGAUGGCCUCUAUUUAUAAGCUAUCGCCGGAGGAGGGGUUUGCGUCUGAUUAGCUAGUUGGAGGGGUAACGGCCCACCAAGGCGACGAUCAGUAGCCGGUCUGAGAGGAUGAACGGCCACAUUGGAACUGAGACACGGUCCAGACUCCUACGGGAGGCAGCAGUGGGGAAUCUUCCGCAAUGGGCGAAAGCCUGACGGAGCAACGCCGGGUGAGUGAAGACGGCCUUCGGGUUGUAAAGCUCUGUUAUACGGGACGAAUAAUCUUGUGGUUAAUACCCAUGAGAAGUGACGGUACCGUAAGAGAAAGCCACGGCUAACUACGUG